CCUCCCUGUUCACUACCUGUACUGAUCCUCAUCCCAGCCGCUUCACACUCAGCUGCGAACCAAUCCAGUGAGUACUGGAGGUCACAGACCGAUGAUUCCAACAGUACCACAUCAUCUGCAAAAAGCAGCGAAGAGAUCCUCAGCACACCGAACUGCAAACCCACCUCCCCCCGACUACGCCUCGAUAUCCUAUCCUUGAA